GCCUCCGUGGUGUGACAGUUAGCACUCUUGGCUUGCAUUCGAGAGGUCGAGGUUCGAGUUCUGGCGAGGGUA
rnacentral:tRNA from 1 species